rnacentral:lncRNA from 1 species
ACUCUUGUGCAUAGUGUCUUAUUUUGUUUUUUUAUUGGGUUAUGUAGUAAACUUUGGCACAUUGAAUAUCAAAAACGAAGUGAAUAACUGUUAAAAGGCUUGUUUCGAAACAAUAUUGGGGAUUUAAGUUGUACUUCCUCUGUCCUUGAAUAAAUUGAUUUAUAGAGUUGUCUUAGGUCAAUUUUUUUAAAAACUUUGACUGAUUUUUUAGAAAAAUUAAUACUUAUAAUAUCAUAUUAGUAUCAUUAGAUUUAUCAUAAAAUAUAUUUUCAUAAAGUGCUCAUUUUGUGAUAUAUAUAUAUAUAUUAUUAUUAUUUUUAUAUAAAGUUAAUCAAAUUUUAAAAAAGUUCAACUGGCAUAAAUUGUAGGAAAUGAUUUUUUUUAGGGAUAGAAGGAGCACUCGGUGCAAAUUAAUUGGGAUCCAAUACCUAGACUUCAUUAGAAAUGAAUCUCUGCGUCCAAAUUAAUUAAACUCCAAACUGGCCGGGCAAAUAGUUUACAGCAGUGCAAAGCAGCAAAGGUCAAACCAAACAAGAAACACAACACAAGGACUUGGUCAACAAGUACGGUCAGGGACCAAUGAGGAACACCAAAAAAAAGAAAAAAAAACACACAAAACUAAUGGGAGGCAGAGCCACCACUGGUAGCCACAAUUAGUAGCUCGUCAUCUUGAGCAACUGCGCGCUCAUCCGGCGGCGAACCCUGGUGAUGUACAUGCCGGCGGCCCGGUCGAUCUCGUCCUCGAUCCUGAACUCCUGCCCGUCUCCCUCCCGGCGCCUCCGGAUGACGUCGAGCACCGACGACGUCUCAUCGUCAUCGACGACGACGAGCCCAUCCAUUGCGGCCGCCAAACAAUCAUCACCGCCGCC